GACGAACGCUGGCGGCGUGCCUAAUACAUGCAAGUCGAACGCUGAAGGAGGAGCUUGCUUCUCUGGAUGAGUUGCGAACGGGUGAGUAACGCGUAGGUAACCUGCCUGGUAGCGGGGGAUAACUAUUGGAAACGAUAGCUAAUACCGCAUAAGAGUAGAUGUCGCAUGACAUUUGCUUAAAAGGUGCAAUUUCAUCACUACCAGAUGGACCUGCGUUGUAUUAGCUAGUUGGUGAGGUAAAGGCUCACCAAGGCAACGAUACAUAGCCGACCUGGGAGGGGGAUCGGGCACAAUUGGACUGGAACAAGGGCCAGACUCCUACGGGAGGGAACAGUAGGGGAACUUUGGGAAAGGGCGGAAGGCUGAACGAAGAAAGCCGCGUGAGGGAAGGAAGUUCUCGGAUCGGAAAGAUCUGUUGUAAGAGGAGAACGAGUGGGGGAAUGGAAAGUGCACGCUGUGACGGUAUCUAACCAGAAAGGGACGGCUAACUACGUG
rnacentral:rRNA from 1 species